rnacentral:tRNA from 1 species
GGGCAUAUAGCUCAGUUGGUAGAGCACUUGCCUCACAUACACAAGUCCCUGGGUUCAAUCCCUAGUACCACUA